AUGUUGUAACCUAUUGCAUAUCGAAACACAUUUAAUUUUUUUUCUCAUUUUUAUGUUUUCUUGACAAAGCCAACGCAGCUUGGUUACUUAGUUAUGUCAUAAACAUUUUCCAUAGAGAAGCUCUGAAUUGUCAUUGUAGCAGUUACAUUAAUACCAUUGCAACUGAACCUCCUUAUUGUUAGGCAACAAAUUAUGCGUCUUUUUUUUCCCAUCAGGUCAUGGAUGCCCACAUGCGCCUCAUUGUUGAAGAUUAUAAUAGGCAGUCCCCUGACAAAGUUGUGGCGAUAGAUGCAUUUGAAAUGGCAAACAUUCGAAAUCACAAGCGGGCAAAAGUGAAAGUUAGUGGAUUACUUUUUUGUUGGAUUUUGUUGUAUGUAAUAAUGAAGUGACUUUAUAUUUAAUGGGUUAACACAUUUUUGGAUAAUCAAUAACUAUGUUUUACUUUUAGUUGGAUCUGUUGAUGUACAAAUAUAUCAUCGGAAUUAUCAACCAGAACCACCACUGGACACGGAUGGUAACAGUUUCUAAAGCAGUGUCUAACAUUACUUUCUAAUUGCCAUAGAGUAUUUACUGGUUCAAUUUAACUAUUUCAUUUAUACAUUUUGGACCAUUAAUAGAAUGUUACUAGUAAGAAACAACCUCAAAAGGUGUCAGGAGGUUACAAGAUCUUUCAUGAGACAGAGAGGGCUGAAUGUUUCAAGGGGGGCAUGCAACACAGUCCCACAUCCACACCAGAAGGACAGCAGCUCCUAUGGGCCCUUUGUGCUGAAAGUAAGUAUUACUAUACUGGAUAGGUCAAGAGCAAUACCUGGUAUUCUCAGCACUGUUGUAAAUUCAGGAAGGGAUGGGGUACCUAUCCUUUCCAAAAUGAACAAGAUAAUUUUAGAUGUUGUAGGGUGACAUUUGAAACAAAGUACACAGCUAAGAG
rnacentral:lncRNA from 1 species